GAAUAUCAAACUCCGAAUGCCAUAUAGAUGAUGUACGGGAGUCAGACUGCACGAGAUAAGUUGGGCAGUCAAAAGGGAAAGAGCCCAGACCGCCAGCUAAGGUCCCAAAGUGUGUGUUAAGUGGAAAAGGAUGUGGGAUUUCGAAGACAACUAGGAUGUUGGCUCAGAAGCAGCCAUACAUUAAAAGAGUGCGUAAUAGCUCACUAGUCGAGAGGUCCUGCGCCGAAAAUGUCCGGGGCUGAAACACAACACCGAAGCUGCGGAACCCGCAAGGGUUGGUAGAGGAGCAUUCUUAAAGGAACGAAGCAGUACCGAAAGGAGCUGUGGACUUUUAAGAAGAGAGAAUGCCGGAAUGAGUAGCGAGAGUAAGGUGAGAAUCCUUACGGCCGAAUAUCCAAGGUUUCCAGGGUAAAGCUGAUCUGCCCUGGGGAAGUCGGGACCUAAGGCGAGGCCGAGAGGCGUAGCCGAUGGACAACAGGUUGAGAUUCCUGUACUACAGUAUGACAGAACUGUGGGGACGCAGAAGGAGAGCACUACCUGGAAUGGAAUCCAGGGGCAAGCACAGGAGGGGUACGGCUGGAAAAACCGCCGUGCAACCCAAAGGUGUGACGCAUACCGAACUAAAGUAGGGAAAUGUGUGAGCCGGCUGCCGAGAAAAGCCGCUAUUGUUUGUACUGUACCCGUACCGUAAACCGACACAGGUGGAUGAGGAGAGAAUCCUAAGGCCGACGGAAGAAGCAUUGCUAAGGAACUCGGCAAAAUGACCCUGUAACUUCGGGAGAAAGGGUGCCUCGAAAGAGGCCGCAGAGAAUAGGCCCAAGCAACUGUUUAGCAAAAACACAGGUCUAUGCAAAACCGCAAGGUGAAGUAUAUGGGCUGACGCCUGCCCGGUGCUGGAAGGUUAAGGGGAGAUGUCAGGAGACGAAGCAUCGAACUUAAGCCCCAGUAAACGGCGGCCGUAACUAUAACGGUCCUAAGGUAGCGAAAUUCCUUGUCGGGUAAGUUCCGACCCGCACGAAAGGCGUAAUGAUUUGGGCGCUGUCUCGGCAAUGCAUCCGGUGAAAUUGAAGUGCCAGUGAAGAUGCUGGCUACCCGCGCCAGGACGGAAAGACCCCAUGGAGCUUUACUCCAGCUUGAUACUGGGAUUCGGUAUUGUAUGUACAGGAUAGGUGGGAGGCUGAGAAAUGGUGACGCCAGUCGCCAUGGAGCCGCUGUUGGGAUACCACCCUUGCAGUACUGGAUUUCUAACCAGCAGCCGUAAUCCGGCUGGGGGACAAUGUCAGGUGGGGAGUUUGACUGGGGCGGUCGCCUCCGAAAGGGUAUCGGAGGCGCUCAAAGGUUCCCUCAGAAUGGUCGGAAACCAUUCGAAGAGUGCAAAGGCAGAAGGGAGCUUGACUGCGACACCGACGGGUGG
rnacentral:rRNA from 1 species